rnacentral:rRNA from 1 species
GCGGGCCCGCGGGAACUGUGGCGUAAGGAAGUCCGGUCCGGCGGUCGCGGCGGCGCCGAGGUCCUUCUGAUCGAGGCCCCCUCCGUCCCGUGGCGGGUGUCAGGCCCCUGCGGGCGCCGCCCGGCGGCCGACCAGGGCUUCCGGGAGUCGGGUUGUUUUGUAGCGCAGCCCAAAGGCGGGUGGUAAACUCCAUCCAAGGCUAAAUACCGGCACGAGACCGAUAGAGCACAAGUACCAUGAGGGAAAGUA